CCCCCCACUGCAGACCCACAGCCCAGCAGGCAGAGCUACGCACAGGCUGUGAGGGGAGCAACUGGCCCAGCCCCCACCAACCAAAUGAGUGACAUUAAACAAAUGCCGAGUCUACUAUGCUCACGUGUGAUAGGCCGAGGGGCAUGGAUGCUUACGUGAUUGGCCGAGGGGCAUGGUAAGAUGAGCACAAGAACUCCACCAUCCUCACACUUCACCCACCCAAGUGACAUGACACAAAUUAUAUCUUAAAUGAUAAACAAAUCACAUUUGCAUAAUAAGAGUUUACAUUAAUUGAAAACCCCCUAUUUUAAGAGUGCUUGAUGGAUUGUGGGUGUUUGUCUCAUUUUGAAGGUAAAGAAAAAACAGUUCUGAAAUCUUUUUACGUUGGAAUUUACAAGGAUUAAAGUCCUCUGCUUUUGGGCUAAGGAGCAGAAACCCAGACUUCCUGAAAGACAUUGAUGAUGUUGAUAUUGUAGUACUACAGGAAACAUGGUGCAGAGGUGAUGUUUCCACUGGCUGUCCACUAGGUUAUAGGGAGAUAAUCAUACCAUCCACUGGCUGUCCACUAGGUUAUAGGGAGAUAAUCAUACCAUCCACUGUCUGUCCACUAGGUUAUAGGGAGAUAAUCAUACCAUCCACUGGCUGUCCACUAGGUUAUAGGGAGAUAAUCAUACCAUCCACUGGCUGUCCACUAGGUUAUAGGGAGAUAAUCAUACCAUCCACUGUCUGUCCACUAGGUUAUAGGGAGAGAAUCAUACCAUCCACUGUCUGUCCACUAGGUUAUAGGGAGAUAAUCAUACCAUCCACUGUCUGUCCACUAGGUUAUAGGGAGGUAAUCAUACCAUCCACUGGCUGUCCACUAGGUUAUAGGGAGAUAAUCAUACCAUCCACUGGCUGUCCACUAGGUUAUAGGGAGAUAAUCAUACCGUCCACUAGGUUACAGGGAGAUAAUCAUACCAUCCACUGGCUGUCCUCUAGGUUAUAGGGAGAUAAUCAUACCAUCCACUGGCUGUCCACUAGGUUACAGGGAGAUAAUCAUACCAUCCACUGGCUGUCCACUAGGUUAUAGGGAGAUAAUCAUACCAUCCACUGGCUGUCCACUAGGUUAUAGGGAGAUAAUCCUACCAUCCACUGACUGUCCACUAGGUUAUAGGGAGAUAAUCAUACCAUCCACUGGCUGUCCUCUAGGUUAUAGGGAGAUAAUCAUACCAUCCCCUGGCUGUCCACUAGGUUAUAGGGAGAUAAUCAUACCGUCCACUAGGUUACAGGGAGAUAAUCCUACCAUCCACUGGCUGUCCUCUAGGUUAUAGGGAGAUAAUCAUACCAUCCACUGGCUGUCCACUAGGUUAUAGGGAGAUAAUCAUACCAUCCACUGGCUGUCCUCUAGGUUAUAGGGAGAUAAUCAUACCAUCCCCUGGCUGUCCACUAGGUUAUAGGGAGAUAAUCAUACCGUCCACUAGGUUACAGGGAGAUAAUCAUACCAUCCACUGGCUGUCCACUAGGUUAUAGGGAGAUAAUCAUACCAUCCACUGGCUGUCCACUAGGUUAUAGGGAGAUAAUCAUACCAUCCACUGGCUGUCCACUAGGUUAUAGGGAGAUAAUCAUACCGUCCACUAGGUUACAGGGAGAUAAUCAUACCGUCCACUGACCGUCCACUGGGUUAUAGGGAGAUAAUCAUACCAUCCACUGGCUGUCCACUAGGUUAUAGGGAGAUAAUCAUACCAUCCACUGGCUGUCCACUAGGUUAUAGGGAGAUAAUCAUACCGUCCACUAUGUUAUAGGGAGAUAAUCAUACCAUCCACUGGCUGUCCACUAGGUUAUAGGGAGAUAAUCAUACCAUCCACUGGCUGUCCACUAGGUUAUAGGGAGAUAAUCAUACCAUCCACUGGCUGUCCACUAGGUUAUAGGGAGAUAAUCAUACCAUCCACUGGCUGUCCACUAGGUUAUAGGGAGAUAAUCAUACCAUCCACUGGCUGUCCACUAGGUUAUAGGGAGAUAAUCAUACCAUCCACUGGCUGUCCACUAGGUUAUAGGGAGAUAAUCAUACCAUCCACUGGCUGUCCACUAGGUUAUAGGGAGGUAAUCAUACCAUCCACUAGGUUAUAGGGAGAUAAUCAUACCAUCCACUAGGUUAUAGGGAGAUAAUCAUACCAUCCACUAGGUUAUAGGGAGAUAAUCAUACCAUCCACUGGCUGUCCACUAGGUUAUAGGGAGAUAAUCAUACCAUCCACUGGCUGUCCACUAGGUUAUAGGGAGGUAAUCAUACCAUCCACUGGCUGUCCAAUAGGUUAUAGGGAGAUAAUCAUACCAUCCACUGGCUGUCCACUAGGUUAUAGGGAGAUAAUCCUACCACCCACUGGCUGUCCACUAGGUUAUAGGGAGAUAAUCAUACCAUCCACUGGCUGUCCACUAGGUUAUAGGGGGAUAAUCAUACCAUCCACUGGCUGUCCACUAGGUUAUAGGGAGAUAAUCAUACCAUCCACUGGCUGUCCACUAGGUUAUAGGGAGAUAAUCAUACCGUCCACUGACCGUCCACUGGGUUAUAGGGAGAUAAUCAUACCAUCCACUGGCUGUCCACUAGGUUAUAGGGAGAUAAUCAUACCAUCCACUGGCUGUCCACUGGGUUAUAGGGAGAUAAUCAUACCAUCCACUAGGUUACAGGGAGAUAAUCAUCCCAUCCACUGGCUGUCCACUAGGUUACAGGGAGAUAAUCAUACCAUCCACUGGCUGUCCACUGGGUUAUAGGGAGAUAAUCAUACCAUCCACUGGCUGUCCACUAGGUUAUAGGGAGAUAAUCAUACCAUCCACUGGCUGUCCACUGGGUUAUAGGGAGAUAAUCAUACCGUCCACUAGGUUAUAGGGAGAUAAUCAUACCGUCCACUAUGUUAUAGGGAGGUAAUCAUACCAUCCACUAUGUUAUAGGGAGGUAAUCAUACCAUCCACUAUGUUAUAGGGAGGUAAUCAUACCAUCCACUAUGUUAUAGGGAGAUAAUCAUACCAUCCACCUAAUUAAAAGGACUCGGGACAGGGCAGAGACUCCAGGGGAAGGCUAAUAUGGUAUAAAUCUGAACUAAUUAAAUCAAAUUGAUCAAAACAGGAUAAUUAUUUCUGGUUAAAAAUCAACAAGGAGGCUGUCUUUACAGAUAAAAACAUUCCUCAGUCCCCCUACUUCAAUGAAGAGAGUUCCUCCAUUUCCUCAUACAUUCCCUCCUCAGUCACCCUACUUCAAUGAAGAGAGUUCCUCCAUUUCCUCAUACAUUCCCCCCUCAGUCACCCUACUUCAAUGAAGAGAGUUCCUCCAUUCCCCCCUCAGUCACCCUGCUUCAAUGAAGAGAGUUCCUCCAUUUCCUCCUCAUACAUUCCCCCCUCAGUCACCCUACUUCAAUGAAGAGAGUUCCUCCAUUUCCUCAUACAUUCCCUCCUCAGUCACCCUACUUCAAUGAAGAGAGUUCCUCCAUUUCCUCCACAUACAU